CCUACGGGAGGCAGCAGUGAGGAAUAUUGGUCAAUGGGCGGGAGCCUGAACCAGCCAAGUCGCUUGAGGGAAGACGGUCCUAUGGAUUGUAAACCUCUUUAGUCGGGGAGCAAUGCCGGGCACGCGUGCCCGGAGGGAGAGUACCCGCAGAAUAAGCAUCGGCUAACUCCGUGCCAGCAGCCGCGGUAAUACGGAGGAUGCGAGCGUUAUCCGGAUUUUUUGGGUUUAAAGGGUGCGUAGGCGGAUUUUUAAGUCAGCGGUAAAAUGUCCGGGCUCAACCCGGGCCGGCCGUUGAAAAUGGGGAUUUUGAGUGGGAGAGAAGUAUGCGGAAUGCGUGGUGUAGCGGUGAAAUGCAUAGAUAUCACGCAGAACUCCGAUUGCGAAGGCAGCAUACCGGCGCCCGACUGACGCUGAGGCACGAAAGCGUGGGGAUCGAACAGGAUUAGAUACCCCUGGUAGUC
rnacentral:rRNA from 1 species